rnacentral:rRNA from 1 species
ACUUUGAUUAUGGCUCGGGACGAACGCUGGCGGCGCGCCUAACACAUGCAAGUCGAGCGGGAAGCUUUUUAAGGAUUCUUCGGAUGAAUUAAAAAGUGGAGAGCGGCGGACGGGUGAGUAACGCGUGAGAAACCUGCCCUAUACAGGGGGAUAGCCAUUGGAAACGAUGAUUAAUACCCCAUAUGACCACAGUAUCGCAUGAUACAGCGGUGAAAACUCCGGUGGUAUAGAAUGGUCUCGCGUCUGAUUAGCUAGUUGGUGGGGUAACGGCCUACCAAGGCGACGAUCAGUAGCCGGCCUGAGAGGGUGACCGGCCACACUGGAACUGAGACACGGUCCAGACUCCUACGGGAGGCAGCAGUGGGGAAUAUUGCACAAUGGGCGAAAGCCUGAUGCAGCGACCCCGCGUGAACGAUGAGGGCUUUUCGAGUCGUAAAGUUCUGUUCUUGGGGAAAAAAACCGACGGUCCCCAAGGAGAAAGCCCCGGCUAAAUCCUGGCCACCCGCCGCGGUA